rnacentral:sRNA from 2 species
GCUGCCGUUCUUGGGGAGUAGCCACCCGGCCCCGGGGCAAUCGUCAACAUACUCGAUCCCUGGGAUCGUGGCGAUUGCAGCAACCUUCGCGUUGCCAGGCGAGACCACGACACCGCCUUUCCGCGUUGGGCCGGGAGGGGUGGGUGUCGUUUGGUCGUUGGCCCCGGGAUUUGAU